AGUCUUCCUUUCUUAACACCUCAAAACCCCUUAGCAUCCCAAAAUCAACGUGGCCCCAACUCCUAUGCGGCCAAAAAACUCCUAGCGCCACUUUUAUCUCACGCGUUCUCUCCAUGCGGCCCCCACUCUCAAAGUCCAGCACCGUUUCAAAAUCCACAAGACUUCUCUCACACAAACUCUUCCUUGCGCCUCAUCCCUCCUCUAUAAAUAACACCCUACAUGCCUCCUCCUGGAAUUAAUUCCCGACGUCCCCCUCUCCUCUAAGAACGCCCCA
rnacentral:lncRNA from 1 species